GGCCGCGGUAUUCUGACCGUGCAAAGGUAGCGCAAUCACUUGUCUUUUAAAUGAAGACCUGUAUGAAUGGCAUAACGAGGGCUUUACUGUCUCUUCUUUCUAGUCCAUGAAAUUGAUCUUCCCGUGCAGAACCGGGGAUGUUAUCAUAAGACGAGAAGACCCUGUGGAGCUUUAGACCCAGGCAGCCCCCGUUAAUAAGGCCUCAUCAACGGCCUAUAGCCCUGCCUUACUGUCUUUGGUUGGGGCGACCGCGGAGAACUAUCAAACCUCCAUGUGGACUGAACUAAUCUUUUAUAACUUAGAACGGCAGUUCCAAGUCACAGAACUUCUGACCAAAAAUGACCCGGUAAAACCGAUCAACGAACCGAGUUACCCCAGGGAUAACAGCGCAAUCCUCUUUUAGAGCCCCUAUCGACAAG
rnacentral:rRNA from 1 species